rnacentral:antisense_RNA from 1 species
GUCCCGCUCCCCGUCGCCCCACGCCGCCCUCGUCGCCGCGCCCAGACCCCCGCGGCGGCCGCAGCCGCUCGGGACUCGCUGCGAGCUGGUUUCGGAGCCAUCCCGCCUCCGGGCGUCUCACUGUGUGCCCUACCCUUUGAAACACGCCCCCGCCCCCGCCCUGCCGCAGACCAGGCAGCGAGGAAGCCCACAGUCUCCGGGGGCGCUGCGCGCGAAGUAGCACGUGCUUCGCGAAACACCGCAGCCCCCGGGUCCCGCCCCGCCCGGUGCGCGCACUCGAACCCGCCCAGAGAGCGGUGCGUGGCGCUGGGUGUGAGCAGGGUCUCGCCACCCCCACCCUCACCCCACCCCACUCCACCCUGCUUUUUUCAGGUUCAUCAAGGUUUGCGCAGUGGAUCCGCGAAUGAAGCCAGCCUGGAAGAUCCCCAUUCUCGAGACAGAGCCUGACAGGGGCAGAUGCUCUGGAAGGACCCUGUCUGGGUUUAGCAACCAAGCAGCCAUCCUGGCCCCACAGGUGUGGGACCAGCAACCAAGCAGCCAUCCUGGCCCCACAGGUGUGGGACUUCUGGGUCUUCUCCUGGCUGGCUUCUUGCUAGAGGACUUCAAGAGACCCAGCAAGACUGUAUUGUCCCACUGAAUGCUCAAAAUAUUGGUUAGAAGUAGAAAAGGGGAGGGGGUAGUAUUUAGCCUCUGUCCCCACUAAAAAUUAUUCCCAAUUGUCAUUUGUGUCAUCUGUUUAGCUUACAGUUUUAAUCCUUGUCAAAAUGAUCAUUUGCCAGGGUGCAUAAAACACCCUAUUUGAUGAGAACUGGUUUUAAAGGAAAAUGGGGCCAUCAGAAGGAAGCCGGUUGGUGUGAAGAGACGUCUGGGAAGAGCCCCUGGCGAGGGCCCUCAUUCCACUGGGCGACCCAGAAGGAGAAAACCGCGAUGGCGCUUCUCAUUUGAAAUGUUUUCUUUAUGGACAGUGUUUAGCAAUUGUUAUAACGUGUAUUUUUGUUGAUUGAUCUGUAUACAUAUGUAAAAUAAUUUGUUCUCUGAGUUAAUUUUGUUGGAACAAAGACUUUCGUGCUUCCUAAAUUAAAACAUUUUACUGUAUUGCCUGCA